rnacentral:tRNA from 1 species
UGCGGGGUAGAGCAGCCGGUAGCUCGUCGGGCUCAUAACCCGGAGGUCGCAGGUUCGAGUCCUGUCCCCGCUACUA